rnacentral:rRNA from 1 species
AUUGAACGCUGGCGGCAUGCCUUACACAUGCAAGUCGAACGGCAGCACGGGAGCAAUCCUGGUGGCGAGUGGCGAACGGGUGAGUAAUAUAUCGGAACGUGCCCAGUCGUGGGGAUAACGUAGCGAAAGCUACGCUAAUACCGCAUACGAUCUAUGGAUGAAAGCGGGGGAUCGCAAGACCUCGCGCGAUUGGAGCGGCCGAUAUCAGAUUAGGUAGUUGGUGAGGUAAAGACUCACCAAGCCGACGAUCUGUAGCUGGUCUGAGAGGACGACCAGCCACACUGGGACUGAGACACGGCCCAGACUCCUACGGGAGGCAGCAGUGGGGAAUUUUGGACAAUGGGCGCAAGCCUGAUCCAGCAAUGCCGCGUGCAGGAUGAAGGCCUCGG